UCCGCAGUAGCUCAAUGGUAGAGCAUCCGGCUGUUAACCGGAGGGUUGGGGGUUCGAGCCCCUCCUGCGGAG
rnacentral:tRNA from 1 species